UUGCUCUUCAACGAGGAAUUCCUAGUAAGCGCGAGUCAUCAGCUCGCGUUGACUACGUCCCUGCCCUUUGUACACACCGCCCGUCGCUCCUACCGAUUGAAUGGUCCGGUGAAGUGUUCGGAUCGCGGCGACGUGGGCGGUUCGCCGCCGACGACGUCGCGAGAAGUUCACUGAACCUUAUCAUUUAGAGGAAGGAGAAGUCGUAACAAGGUUUCCGUAGGUGAACCUGCGGAAGGAUCAUUGUCGAAACCUGCUCAGCAGAACGACCCGUGAACGUGUUUACGAACAACGGGCUAGGUGUGCUUGGUGCCCCUCGCCCGAGCAGGGGAGCGCUCACUGGUGUGGUGCUUCCCAGCUACAUAAACGAACCCCGGCGCGAAAAGCGUCAAGGAACAUGAACUCAAUGUGAGCGCCUUGUCCCUGUUCGGUUAACCGUGCGGGGGGAGGUGCCAUGUCUUUAUAACAAUAAACGACUCUCGGCAACGGAUAUCUCGGCUCUCGCAUCGAUGAAGAACGUAGCGAAAAGCGAUACUUGGUGUGAAUUGCAGAAUCCCGUGAACCAUCGAGUCUUUGAACGCAAGUUGCGCCCGAAGCCUCGGCUAAGGGCACGUCUGCCUGGGCGUCACGCAUCGCGUCUCCCCCAAUCCGCCAAGGCGGAGGGGAAGGAAGAUGGAUUCCCGUGCCUCACCCGGCAUGGUUGGCCUAAAUUUGGAGCCCGCGGCACUUAGCUCUCGCGGCGAUAGGUGGUGAACAAGGCCUUGGCCGUGCAAAUAACCCGUUGCGAAGCUCUAUGUCACGUGCGCUCGUCGGACCCUUUGUAGUUGCCUUUGGUGACUUAAAACCUUUGCGACCCCAGGUCAGGCGGGGCUACCCGCUGAAUUUAAGCAUAUCAAUAAGCGGAGGA
rnacentral:rRNA from 1 species